CGGGCGGUGAAGCCCCACUCGCCGUCGCCGGUGAGCAGCGCCUGCUCGCCGAAGUGGUCGCCGUCGGCCAGGAUGCCGAGACGGUUCUGCUCGCCGUACGACCCCUCGCCGAGCUUCUCGACCUUGCCGUGCGCGAUCAGGAAGACCGUGUCGGCCGGCUGCCCCGCCUCGGCGAGCACCUCGCCGGGGGCGAACUCCCGCUGGACGAACCGGUCCGCGAGCGCGGUCAGCGCCUCCCCGUUGUCGAAGGACCGCAGCGCGGCGAUCUCUCCCAGCUCCUGCGGAAUGACCCGGACCUGCGACCCGGUCUUGACGAACGUCACCCGCCCGUCCCCGACGGCAUAGCUCAGCCGCCGGUUGACGCGGUACGUGCCCGCGUUGACCUGCACCCAGGGCAGCACCUUGAGCAGCCACCUGGACGAGAUGCCCUGCAUCUGGGGUGUGGACUUGGUUGUCGUGGCCAGAUUCCGCGCGGCGGCCGUAUCCAGGCUCGUGCGCGGGGCGUCCU
rnacentral:antisense_RNA from 1 species